UACGGAGGGUGCGAGCGUUGUCCGGAAUCAUUGGGCGUAAAGGGCGCGUAGGUGGCCCCUCAAGCGUGCGGUGAAAGUCAGGGGCUCAACCCCUGAUCGGCCGUGCGAACUGGGGAGCUUGAGCACUGUAGAGGCAGGCGGAAUUCCGGGUGUAGCGGUGGAAUGCGUAGAGAUCCGGAAGAACACCGGUGGCGAAGGCGGCCUGCUGGGCUAUGGCUGACACUGAGGCGCGACAGCGUGGGGAGCAAACAGG
rnacentral:rRNA from 1 species